ensembl:lncRNA
AUGUGUUUGUGUAUUUGGGGCCGUUUGUUACCUUGUGAGCAGUGGAGCAGUGAUGGACUCAGCUGGCUUGGGAAGAGCUGCCAGAUUUUCAGAACAAUGCCACCCUCAUCAUCACCGUUAACGCCUCUCUCCUCCUCAGAAACAUCCCAGAUCCCAACACGCCUCUAUAUUAUCCUCACAUAUCAAUGUCUGCUGGUGUCUGUUGUGGCUGGCCCUGUCAGAAGCUUAGCAUGUGUGCAAUCAAAUCACUUCCUUCUGUAUCCUGCAGAUUAUGAAAAGCGAUUAAUGAUUACACGCAGCACCAAACUGAAAAAAUUAAGGGGGUGAAUUGACCCGAGUGAGAGGUUUUCAGCGCUACACAGAUUGAUGUUGAGCAUGGUGACCGGAAAUCCAAUUUGUGUUUCGAAAGGUACACCUUUGUACUUUAAUUACCUCUAAAGUGUGCAUAUUAGUAAUAUAAUGAUAAAUAUUAAUCCUUUUUAAAAAGGGCACCCCUCCAGUGCCAGCAUUUGUACCACUGUUUAUUAGAGACUAGUCUAUUGCAUAUGUAUAAGUUACUUAAUCAUCCAAAGCUAAAAAUGCAAAAUGUCUAGCAUUAAUUUUUUUUCGGUUAGUCAAGUGCAUCAUCUGGGUAUUUGAAGUGCGCUUUUUCUUUUUGGAAAGUGAACACACUACUCACACUAUUUCUACUACAAUAUGGGACAGAGUAGUGCAUCUGAAUUGGGACGCACCUCCAGGUUUACUCUCUUUUAAAAAAAAUAUGACCCACACUGGUUGACCACACAGCUCUGAGGAGAUGCUCACCAGUGGUGGGCAGACAGUGCUGCAUCUCUCAGUAGAAUGGUUGUUAAGGAUUAAGAUGUUAAACGGAGACUAUCUAAAAGCAUAGCGCUCUGCUGGGCUGCUCUCUCUGUCUCUGCAGUGGAUUAACGCACUCGAGAGAGAGAGAGUCAAGAAGCCACAUACGCAUGUAUAAAUACAAGCAUUAUUAUAUAUUGGAAAAGUGUCUUUGCUAUUCCCCUGGUCCCACUGAGCUCCUGCAGCGCUCUGGUGACUCAGGCCUCAGGCGUAGCUCAGGAAAAGGCAAAUCACUAAUGCUCUUAGCAUCAAACAAUAAAUCCUGCAGUUAUUUUCCA